GGUUAAGCGACUAAGCGUACACGGUGGAUGCCCUGGCAGUCAGAGGCGAUGAAGGACGUGCUAAUCUGCGAAAAGCGUCGGUAAGGUGAUAUGAACCGUUAUAACCGGCGAUGUCCGAAUGGGGAAACCCAGUGUGAUUCGUCACACUAUCGUUAACUGAAUACAUAGGUUAACGAGGCGAACCGGGGGAACUGAAACAUCUAAGUACCCCGAGGAAAAGAAAUCAACCGAGAUUCCCCCAGUAGCGGCGAGCGAACGGGGAGCAGCCCAGAGUCUGAAUCAGCUUGUGUGUUAGUGGAACGGUCUGGAAAGUCCGACGGUACAGGGUGAUAGUCCCGUACACCAAAAUGCACAGGCUGUGAACUCGAAGAGUAGGGCGGGACACGUGGUAUCCUGUCUGAAUAUGGGGGGACCAUCCUCCAAGGCUAAAUACUCCUGACUGACCGAUAGUGAACCAGUACCGUGAGGGAAAGGCGAAAAGAACCCCGGCGAGGGGAGUGAAAAAGAACCUGAAACCGUGUACGUACAAGCAGUGGGAGCACCUUCGGGUGUGACUGCGUACCUUUUGUAUAAUGGGUCAGCGACUUAUAUUCUGUAGCAAGGUUAACCGUAUAGGGGAGCCGCAGGGAAACCGAGUCUUAACUGGGCGUUAAGUUGCAGGGUAUAGACCCGAAACCCGGUGAUCUAGCCAUGGGCAGGUUGAAGGUUGGGUAACACUAACUGGAGGACCGAACCGACUAAUGUUGAAAAAUUAGCGGAUGACUUGUGGCUGGGGGUGAAAGGCCAAUCAAACCGGGAGAUAGCUGGUUCUCCCCGAAAGCUAUUUAGGUAGCGCCUCGUGAACUCAUCUUCGGGGGUAGAGCACUGUUUCGGCUAGGGGGUCAUCCCGACUUACCAACCCGAUGCAAACUACGAAUACCGAAGAAUGUUAUCACGGGAGACACACGGCGGGUGCUAACGUCCGUCGUGAAGAGGGAAACAACCCAGACCGCCAGCUAAGGUCCCAAAGUCAUGGUUAAGUGGGAAACGAUGUGGGAAGGCACAGACAGCCAGGAUGUUGGCUUAGAAGCAGCCAUCAUUUAAAGAAAGCGUAAUAGCUCACUGGUCGAGUCGGCCUGCGCGGAAGAUGUAACGGGGCUAAACCAUGCACCGAAGCUGCGGCAGCGACACUAUGUGUUGUUGGGUAGGGGAGCGUUCUGUAAGCCUGCGAAGGUGACCUGUGAGGGUUGCUGGAGGUAUCAGAAGUGCGAAUGCUGACAUAAGUAACGAUAAAGCGGGUGAAAAGCCCGCUCGCCGGAAGACCAAGGGUUCCUGUCCAACGUUAAUCGGGGCAGGGUGAGUCGACCCCUAAGGCGAGGCCGAAAGGCGUAGUCGAUGGGAAACAGGUUAAUAUUCCUGUACUUGGUGUUACUGCGAAGGGGGGACGGAGAAGGCUAUGUUAGCCGGGCGACGGUUGUCCCGGUUUAAGCAUGUAGGCUGGUUGUCCAGGCAAAUCCGGAUAAUCAAGGCUGAGGUGUGAUGACGAGGCACUACGGUGCUGAAGUAACAAAUGCCCUGCUUCCAGGAAAAGCCUCUAAGCAUCAGGUAACAUCAAAUCGUACCCCAAACCGACACAGGUGGUCAGGUAGAGAAUACCAAGGCGCUUGAGAGAACUCGGGUGAAGGAACUAGGCAAAAUGGUGCCGUAACUUCGGGAGAAGGCACGCUGGUGUGUAGGUGAAGUCCCUGCGGAUGGAGCUGAGACCAGUCGAAGAUACCAGCUGGCUGCAACUGUUUAUUAAAAACACAGCACUGUGCAAACACGAAAGUGGACGUAUACGGUGUGACGCCUGCCCGGUGCCGGAAGGUUAAUUGAUGGGGUUAUCCGUAAGGAGAAGCUCUUGAUCGAAGCCCCGGUAAACGGCGGCCGUAACUAUAACGGUCCUAAGGUAGCGAAAUUCCUUGUCGGGUAAGUUCCGACCUGCACGAAUGGCGUAAUGAUGGCCAGGCUGUCUCCACCCGAGACUCAGUGAAAUUGAACUCGCUGUGAAGAUGCAGUGUACCCGCGGCAAGACGGAAAGACCCCGUGAACCUUUACUAUAGCUUGACACUGAACAUUGAGCCUUGAUGUGUAGGAUAGGUGGGAGGCUUUGAAGCGUGGACGCCAGUCUGCGUGGAGCCAACCUUGAAAUACCACCCUUUAAUGUUUGAUGUUCUAACGUUGGCCCCUGACCGGGGUUGCGGACAGUGUCUGGUGGGUAGUUUGACUGGGGCGGUCUCCUCCCAAAGCGUAACGGAGGAGCACGAAGGUUAGCUAAUCCUGGUCGGACAUCAGGAGGUUAGUGCAAUGGCAUAAGCUAGCUUGACUGCGAGCGUGACGGCGCGAGCAGGUGCGAAAGCAGGUCAUAGUGAUCCGGUGGUUCUGAAUGGAAGGGCCAUCGCUCAACGGAUAAAAGGUACUCCGGGGAUAACAGGCUGAUACCGCCCAAGAGUUCAUAUCGACGGCGGUGUUUGGCACCUCGAUGUCGGCUCAUCACAUCCUGGGGCUGAAGUAGGUCCCAAGGGUAUGGCUGUUCGCCAUUUAAAGUGGUACGCGAGCUGGGUUUAGAACGUCGUGAGACAGUUCGGUCCCUAUCUGCCGUGGGCGCUGGAGAAUUGAGGGGGGCUGCUCCUAGUACGAGAGGACCGGAGUGGACGCAUCACUGGUGUUCGGGUUGUCAUGCCAAUGGCACUGCCCGGUAGCUAAAUGCGGAAGAGAUAAGUGCUGAAAGCAUCUAAGCACGAAACUUGCCCCGAGAUGAGUUCUCCCUGAGACUUUAAGUCUCCUGAAGGAACGUUAAAGACGAUGACGUUGAUAGGCCGGGUGUGUAAGCGCAGCGAUGCGUUGAGCUAACCGGUACUAAUGAACCGUGAGGCUUAACCUU
rnacentral:rRNA from 1 species